rnacentral:sRNA from 1 species
UUAUUAUUGUUGUUGCUACUACUGCUAUUAUCAUUAUUAUUAUUAUCAUUAUUGACAUUUUCCCAAGUUUGAGACCAAAUUCGGUGUAUAUUUCUGGUGGGUGGUUUCAACUACAAUUGGUCGCACGGUAGGGAUUUCAGAUUUGGCAUAUGUGAAAUCAUUUGCAUCCCUCCAUAAAUGUAUACUGGCCCUACUUGUGAAUAAAUGAUUAAAGACAACGUGGGUAUAUAACUAAUCCACAAAAUCCCGGAAACGCCCGUCCCGCCCAUUUAGAGUCAAUGUACCCGUCCAGGUACUGUACAUACGGUAUGCGAAAUAUAACCCAUCCGGCAUCGCACACGCCCCAUCAAAUCAACCCAUCGGUCACUUCAUCUCGGUGCCACAGGCCGGAUACCCCAUCUUCGCCGUGACCAUUAUCGUCUUCCCCGCAUACUUCCCCGCAUCCAUCAAAUCAAGCGUGCACUGCUUCACAUGGAGAAAUGGAGGCGACCAUUCGUCUGAUAUCUGGGCUUCUCUAGCCACAUGGGGUAACGGCCGCGAACCCCUUUCCGCCCGCUCCAUCACAUACAAGCAGUGAACGAUGUAGAAGUCCCAAUUGGUGUUGAGGAACUGAUGUGCACCCGCCAGCACCUCCUCAACCGGCACCGAACGUCCGUCUAGUGUCUCCCAGUGCCAGGUAUUUGGGUACCGGGCUAGGAAUUGAUUAUGGAGGUCCUCGUCCCAGCAGUCAUGGUGGGCCCAAUUGAAAGCUAUCAUGUCAAAGAUACAGCCCCGUUGGCGCGCUUCGGCCGGGGAGUUACCACAUGGACCUUCGAAGGCGGACAGAGAUCGUUGGACCUCCACGGGCGGGAUGGUUCGGAGGGCGCCGGCGUAUGGCGAGGGUGAGGAUGGAGUUGAGAAAAAAUGGGUAUAUAUAGUUAGAGCAACCAAGAGAGUCAAGGCAAUCUUGACAGCGAAUAGAUACAGCCGCGAAAAGCAUGUCCGCUUCGGGACAGAGUUGAUGUGCUCCUGAGGGAGGAGGGUCAAUUCAAGAUUUUCGGUGUCCUGGUCUAUUUUGCUCAGGAAGCUUUGGGAUUUCUCCAUGUUAUCUGGUUUAUGAGGAUGGCUUGGUAAUGGGGGAUGCGUGUGCCUGCUGUGUUUCCAAGACCACCAAGGGAGAACAAAAGGAUCGCUGUUUUGCUUGGGCUGUCAGAUUGAGUAAGCUUCGAAGCUGAAACUGGCGAGGGAAGAAGAUGCCCAGUCCAGAUCGGCUACAGCAAUCAAGACUCUGAAAAGAUGCUAGAAAGGGGCACAGGGGCAUAUGUGUAUGUGUAUAUUUAUGUACAGUAGAUGUACAUGGACAUACAUAUAUGCCGCCUCAAUAAUGCUAGUAGGCGGGCAUGGGCCUUUCGGAUGAGUUGCUCAACGCACGUGGGGAGGGCGGACGCUGCCCAGUUGUGGCGACAUGCUCGGCCGCUGGUCUUGUCAAAAGGGAUAUCUAGUAAGGGAGGAUCCUCGGGUCGCAAUCAAUUUGCCAUUCUACAUUGUGCUGGGUAAAAGACCGCUGCAACCAGAGGAGGGAGCAGGUGCCGGCUCAUCCCCGAGCUGAUGGAGGAGAAGCGUCAGAUAACUUGAGAUUUUUGUAAAUUCCUUGGUCUGUGACCCGAGCAUAGGCCAGCGCUAGUAUCCGAGAAACGGAGGUGUCUUCCAAAGCGUUUGGAUCGCCCGAGCCUGACAUACUGUCAUCUUCUCUAGUGUCUAAUAACGAAUUGAAAAUCGAUUUUUCCGCCUUUUAUAGGCAGUAACAUGACCUGCUCGAUGAUGGGGUGAAAAGUAGC